AUGUGCGUUAUAACAUAUACAUUCGACAUCCAAAGAUUCAAUAAGUCCAAACAUGGCGUGUUCAUCAUACAUUCAAACGCGAUCCGGUUGAGUAGGGAUCUCUUAGUUCCAGAAACUUUGGCAAUUUCGUACAGACAACAAAGAAUUACAGGCAAUUUCGAAUUCACUGAUGCUGCUUACUCACUUCCACUGGACUGCGGAGACACGGUUUGCUGCGACUGCAGCUGCUCUUCCUCCACCGUCUUGACCACGGCGUGGGUCACGGCGACGCUGCCGCAGCCGGCGACGUUCACGCGGCGGCACCGGUCGCCGCUCACGGCGCCGCACCGGCUGGCGUCGACGGCCCUGCACAUCUGGACCUCCAGGCUGCCGCACCAGUCGGCGCGCACUCCCUUGCAGCGCGCCAGGCGGACCUCGCCGAAGCUCUCGACGUCGGCCCGCCUGCAGCGGGUCGCGCGGAGGAGGCCGCCGCCUCGGAGCCGCGCCUCCCGGCACCUCUCGACCGUCACCUUGCCGGCCUGCUCCGCGUCCAGGGACCGGCACCGCGAGACCGACACCUCCCGCGCGCCGUCGACGCGCGUCGCGCCGCACUGGACGAAGGACGCGGACCCCACGCCCUCGGCGGCCGCGUCGCCGCACAGGGUGAACACGACGGCGCCCCCUCCCCCGCCGCGCACGACGACGCUCCGGAGGCCGUCGGCGGAGAGGUUCCCGGGGCUGGUGACGGUGACCUUGCCGAGACUGCCCUGGAGCGUGCCCUCGUGGAUGUCCGUCUCGACGCCGUCGACCACGACAACGAACAUGUGGUGGACGGCGACCGCGGAGGAGGAUCCGCCGGGCUUGGGGCCGACGAGCUCCAUCGCGAUGUGGUGCGGGCUUGCCAUCCCCUUCUGGUUGUUUUGGUUGGUGAGCUAUCGAGGAGUAAAGCGACGUUUAGUUAUGAGGUCCAUAGAUGUUAAGAGGUGUGUACCCUUCUCAACUGCCAGUGCCCACUCCCAACUGUCAGUGCUGCUCUUUUCUUCGCUUGCACUGUUGCACAUCCCAUACACAUCGGUUCCUCAAAAAAAAUCAUAA
rnacentral:rRNA from 1 species